CUUUUCUGGAGAUCUUCUCCACUGGAGUUUAUCGCAUGAGCCUAGGAUAGGAGCCUCCACAUUAAAGAAGUGAGCAAUGAACGAUCUGUACUCAAUGCUUCCUGCAUUUCUGGGAGUGGAAUUAUACUAUACAAAGAGAGUGCCUGCAGCUGUCGGAGCAGAGCUCAGUGAAAUACGCCAACAUUUUCACAUCAUAAGAGCAGAUGUGGUUGAAAUUGUUGACAAGAAGCAAGGGCACAAGGUCAAAUGCAGAUUUUCCAUAUCAAUUUUUUCAACUGUCUUUUCCAAUUAAGGCAAGGAUGGUACUUGGCCUAGGAAUACCGUACAAAUCUUAUGAAAGGAGUAACUAGUUGGGGAACAGAAGCUCGUGUACCAUAUUGCAGCUCCUAACAGUGCUGUCUGAUGUACAGUUCUUGAUUUGAUUUUUAUUUUUUAAAAUAUAAUGGAUACAUAGUAGGAAAACCUACUUUCAGUCUUAUGAAUGCAUGUGAAUGCCCAUUAGUGUUAAUAGGAAACAUGUUAUGAUUUACAAUGAAAAUGUAGACCAUUUCUCCCCCAUGCGCACCUCAUUUUUCUAGGCAUAGUUGGAGGGGGAAACCCUACAAGGUCGCAUGCUUGUCCGAUCAUCGUCACUUUUCUACGGUACCAACAUCACACCUCAUUGCAUAAUGAGUUGUGCUGAACAGAGAUAGUCAUAGGGAUGACCAGAAAGCCUGUGUAUUAGUGGUUCUGACCGCCGCCAACCAUGAAUAGAAGGGGACUGAGCCCCAGAGUCUCAAAAUAUACAUGGAGUCACAAUUUUUCCUGCAUUAUAUGAGAACUUUCUAAAAACUUAUGUUUUUAAUGAAAACUGAGAUUCUCUUUCAAUCCUAAGGUUCGGAGAGAUGGAAUGGAACUGUAAGUAAAGCUUCAAAUGUUGUGAGAUUCAUGAUAAAAUCUCUGGGCCUGGCAAGGCUGCAUCCCAACAUAUAGUUAAAACUAAUAUUCCAAGGAGGUGUAUUUGCUGCUGAGUAUGACACUCUUGUUUUCUGGUGCUCCAGUACACCGUUUCAAGUCAACUGUGAUACACUACCUAUGAUACUGGAUCAAUGCUGUGCUGAACCAGACUCCAACUUUUAUUGAUGUUUCAGGCAAUCUGCCACUUGGCUAGAGAACUUUGAUUUAAAACAUAAAAGCCAGCUUUAAGGCACGAGGGAUUCACUAGUAAUAGCAACUGAAAAGCUGAAAUUGAAACAAAAAAAUGCGUAGUACUACAUUACCAGUUCCCUGAGACUUCUUGUGUCCCUUUUACUGCUGUCUUAAUCUCUAUGCAUUAAUCUCUGAUCAUUAAUCAUUUUUACUUAAAAUUAUGAGUGAAAUGAAACAUCGUGUAAUCUAUUUUUAAAAUCGCUGUUACAUGAAAGUCAUUUUUGUUCAUGCAACCUUAUUUUCUCACAGAACAGUUUGGAGUUGCCUUUCAAUUUUUCAGUACUGUAAAUUAUUUUGAAUAUUUUCAAUAUUUUUAACUUCUGGACAAGUGACAAAUAUUAGAAAUAUGAGCUGGAUUGGGUAGCUUUUUCCAGACAGAUUAAAUCUCCAAAGAAUUUUUCUCUCCCUACAUGAACAAGUACAGGCGUUAUUUGCUGGAGCCUGUAUGUACACAGUUAAAUAUAUGUUUUGUCAAAUAUUUGUGUUUGUGAUUUGGACAUUAGUUUUCUACGGAGACUUUUGUCAGAAAAAUUCUGUUGGUGUAGAAAGUAAAAUUAAAAGUGUAAAACACUGGAAGCAAACAAAAUUAGCAGGCCAGUUAGCUCUUUCAUUGUUUAAGAAAACAAAAAGGGCUUGUUUUUUGCAUUUUACAGCUACUGAGAUUGAUGGAAAAUAAAACUGCAAUAGGCUAGCCAGAGAUUUUACUAACCUUGCAUUACAAGUUACAUCUAUCGUGGGGGGGAAAAAAAAAAAAGCAAAAACAAACGCAAACAAAAAAAGUUGUUUUAUAUUAGUCUCUAAGUGUCUCCUUCCAAUCUUAUGUUUUGACCAUCUUCAGAAGCAGGGAUAUUACACUUCUGAGCAGAUUCUUCAGUCCGCAGUACAUUUUUAAGUAUUUAUUGAAUGUGUCUCAUUUUAAAUGUUUCAUUCUGAAGACGUUUUCCUGUGUGUGCUGUUGGUUUCAAUGAAUUUCAGGUUUUCAGCAUCUGCUUCUUGUUUUGAUGUGGUGACUCGCUGUUCAAUAACCAA